rnacentral:misc_RNA from 1 species
UAGAAUAAAACGUCCAAGGCUGCUAGAACCGCCAAGAUUAACCCUUUCGAUGUGAAUUCUUUCUUACGCUAUAUAUCAACAUCGAUGGAUGGAACUUUUACCUUACGACGUUCUAUUAUGGUCGAACAGUGAUGCAUAGUCCAUUCACCGGACUUCGUAAUCCACGCGAUGAAACACGUCGAUCCUCUAUCCUUUUAUCUCUUUAUAAAGAUACAGAAAAUGUAAUAAGAUUACGAAUAAAAUAAAGCCUACGACGUUAAUCGAUCCAAUUUAAAAAAGAGACAUUCGAUUUGUAUUUGCAAGAAGAAGAAGAAGAAGAAGAAGAAAGAAAACGACUACAGAGUGCGUUGAACGUACAUAGUUCGCAGCAAUGGAAUUUCAAAUGCAUAUACACAAAUGUAUUCAUAGACCAAGAGAAUGGAUUUCGUUUAGCGCAUAUAGGCGUUCAUAAAAUCGAAGUGGUUAAUGUAGAUCACGCGCGUGUUUCUAGUUUCACGUCGUUAUAGAGCCAAAAACCGUAUUUCGUUGUUAUUGCUAAUAACUACGUGCCGCGUAGUUGUCCAGUUGGAGAUAGAAAAAGCCAAAUUUUUUUUAUACGCGACAAAAAAAAAAAAGCCAACGCUAGAUUUUCCUAUUCU